CUUUGCGGGAACUCUGCGCUGCGUGUUUUAGAAUUUACAUCUCGUUCCCAUUGCCGUAGAAAUUUGUACGUAUUCCAGACUCUCUAGUGUACACAGCCUUCAGAACCUAGAAAGCCGCCAGGCCUUGGCCGAGGCCGCCCAGCGUUCUGGGGGUCGGCCUGAGUCCGGCCCAGCGUCCGGUUCGUGAACGCGCCUUUCCGAAUCUGGCUUCUCGUGCGUCACGUGGGCAGCCGGAGCCUCUGGACGGGAACCAUGCUGCUGAAGCCUGUGGACGAGGAAACGGAGGAGAUGCUGUCCGCAGGCUUUCUGAUCAACGAUGAGGAAAAAUUAAAGGCUGGAAAGCUUAAGGCCAAGAUUAUUAGCAAAGGGCUACCUGUCAGGUUGUACAGAGAUCUCCAUGAGUUGGGUGAGCCUGGUUCUCAAGGACUGGUUGGUUGUGGUAGAAAAACUACCCAGCCGCGUUAAUGAUGGAAAAUACAGACUUUUCAAGCACAACUUUGAACGUUUCUAUCACUAAGAGUUCACUGAAAAGUGCAAGGAAGUGUUUGUUAUUUCCAAGGAGUCCAACAGAACCUUUGAAAUCUUGGAAAGAUUUGCCUUAAAGGAUGUGGAAUUUGAUUUUAAUAAUGCCGCAGCAGGCUCCAGCUUAUCUGUUCUCAGGUGUAAUCACUCCCGCCAGAGAGAGCGGUCCAUAUGCCUUUCAGAACCCAACGAAUCACAAGAAAGCACAUUUCCACCGAAUCUUGGUCAAAUACUUCCAAAGGCAAACGGCUUUCUGGAGAGUGUACCAAGAGCUGCCUUGGCACAUGAAGAUGAGCAGCUGCUGGGAGGAUUUGUGCAGCUUUCUCUCAAGUCCUAGGCCCUGAGGUUGCAGGAGUGAAUGAGCAAUGGCCCCAAGCCUUAGGUGCUUUCCAUCUGGUAGGGAAGGUGUGGAGCCAGAGAACUGCUGUCCAUGGUGGUAAAUGCUUCACUGGAGCAACGGCACAGACCUGGGUAAGCUCGGAAGGGGGAGGGGCUGGUGCGGCCUGGCAGAUUCAGGGACCCUGACCCGAGGAGGGGCCUCCUGGCCAGAGGAGGGGCAUUGGCUUCGACCGCUGAAGAGUGACAGGCUCGUAUUUAUCUGGUGACCUACUAAAGUCAUAAUAGUGCAGAAGUUUAUGAGGAGGCUAAUGGGAUAUGGUAAAUAGAAUAGCUGCCUUCAAGGCAUGAAAUACUAC